rnacentral:rRNA from 1 species
CGCCUGUUUAUCAAAAACAUCUCUUCUUGUUAGGUUUUGAAGUAUGGCCUGCCCAAUGACCUUGAAUGUUGAAGGGGCGCGGUAUUUUGACCGUGCAAAGGUAGCAUAGUCAUUAGUUCUUUAAUUGUGAUCUGGUAUGAAUGGCUUGACGAGGCAUAAGCUGUCUUAAUUUUGAAUUGUUUAUUGAAUUUGGUCUUUGAGUUAAAAUUCUUAGAUGUUUUUAUGGGACGAGAAGACCCUAUAGAGUUUGACAUUUAUUAUGGUCUUUUUCUGUUUGUGAGGGUUCACUAGGGCUGUCAUGAUAUGUUUUGUUGGGGUGAUGGGAGGGAUAUUAUUUAACCCCUCCUUUGGGUUGUUAUUUUUAUUUAUUUUUGCUUGAUCCAUUUAUUUUGAUUGUAAGAUUAAAUUACCUUAGGGAUAACAGCGUAA